rnacentral:sRNA from 1 species
CCCCGGGCUUACGCCCGGGGCUAGACUCUUGCGCGCCCCCGGCGCU